GGAUAGGAGGGUUUUACUGUGGCUUCUGUCAUUCCACUGCUCUGGAGCGUUGAUCUGGCUGAUCUGGCUGGCCACUCAGAUGUCCUCCCCUUCCUUCUUCACCAUCCCACAUGUGUCCUUUCCCAAACUGCAUGAUGCUAGGUCAGAGGACUGCUUUUCCCAAACAGACAAGCAGGGUUAUUGAAGAGCUGGGGCAGGAGAGCUAGUAUGCAUGUAUCUUAUGCACAGCUGACCUGGGUUCAUUUCCCAAGUCCCCAUAU
rnacentral:sRNA from 1 species